rnacentral:rRNA from 1 species
CUAAGAAUAUUCCGCAAUGGAGGAAACUCUGACGGAGCGACGCCGCGUGGAUGAUGAAGGUCGGAAGAUUGUAAAAUCCUUUUAAGUAUGAUGAAUAACCUGAUCAGGAAAUGGGACAGGGAUGACCGUAAUACUUGAAUAAGCAACGGCUAAUUACGUGCCAGCAGCCGCGGUAACACGUAAGUUGCGGGCGUUGUUCGGAAUUAUUGGGCGUAAAGGGCAUGUAGGCGGUUUUGCAAGCUUGAUGUGAAAUGCCGGGGCUUAACUCCGGCACUGCGUUGAGAACUGCAUGACUAGAGUAACUGAGGGGCGAGCC